GAGCGGGCUCCGGAGCCUUCGCACAGGUGUGGUUGGGCCUUGCGGCGCAAGGUCCGCAUUCUGGUGCUGGAGCUCUCGGCCCUGGUGGCCGGCCAGGAGCGCCUGCUGUUGCUGAAGGAGGAGACGAACGACUACGGCGGCAGCCGCCAGAACCUGGAC
rnacentral:SRP_RNA from 15 species